CAACUACUCCCUCUGUCCCAAAUUUCUUGUCUUAGAUUUGUCUAGAUACGGAUGUAUCUAAUACUAAAAUGUGACUUGAUACAUCCGUAUCUAGACAAAUCUAAGACAAGAAUUUUGGGACGGAGCGAGUACUUU
rnacentral:pre_miRNA from 1 species